GACCAGAUGUGAUUGUAGAUUAGUGUCUCUGAUGAUGGCCACGUUUAUGACAACUGACUCCAACUUUUGCUUUUGAAGAACCUUAUAACAUUCUCUUUUUUCCAAAUACAGUAUAAGACCUGGCCUAAAGCAUAAAACAAAAGGAAAGUGUGGGGAAUUCUGAGAUUUAAGAAGCCGAAAAUCACUUUCAUACUGGAGUUUAUAAACUGAAAUCAGAAGCUUGGAGGCAAAACCUUUGUGACUGAUCUUGGAUGGAAACAACAGAACCACAGGUCUGAAAUUGAAAUGCAACAAAUAAAAUGGAUCAUCCUAAGACUGAUGGGAUCUCUGAUCUUAGGAAAGAAGAAUCUCAAAUAAAUAGAAAGCCUGCACUAAAUCCAGGAAAAGCAUUCUCAUUUGUGAUGCAGGGGAACAAUAGUAAAGCUGGCCUUUGAGCAGUAGGAGAUAAAUAGAAGAAAAAUCUCAAAUAAAUGCUCCAAAAUAUUUCCUCUAUCUAAAAUGUAACAAUAAAAUCUUAAUAAAAGAAGACAAAAAAGCAGGGCAAUAUGAAGAAUUGUAAUUAUUAUGAUUUCAAAUGUAAUAAAAAAGUUAAAAUAGUAAGUUGCUUGAUAAAAACUGGCAGUUGCAUUGGACAUCAUCAUCAAUUUCUCUGCAUUCUUUCUGGGUACUGAAGAAUUCAGGGGAGGAUGGAGAAAAAAAAGAAACAUUUUGCUUUUUUGAUGCUACCUUGCUUUUGGAAAUACAUUUUGCCACUACCUUUCUUUAAAAUCUGGGAGUUUCUAGGUACCUUCAUAAGGAAAAUGUCCAAACACAUCCUCUGAAAAGCAGAUUUGUUUUAAAAGUUCACUGGAUACAUGCAAUUAUUAGACAAAAUAUGAGUUAGAUAUUGCUAUUUUUUUUUUCAAUGCUUAAGUUGUGAUAAGCAUGCAGUGCUUCUCAAUAGGCUUCUCAAAAUGCUGCACACUGGGAUUUCGUCCAUAAGUUUCUUCAGAUUAUCCUGGUCAUGUGCCUAGUUUGUCUUCCUGGGAAAGUCAAUCAAUAUAUUCCACAUGGAGUUUGUUUAGGUAAAAGCAGGUAAAAAAGGAGGAUGUACAAGUAUUGUAUUUCCCUGAUUUUUGUGACAAGGUACCUGGUAUGUAAGAGGUUCAGAAAUUAAUAUUCUGCUCAAGUUCUGAUGCUGUACCAACUAUCUCAUUUUCUCAAUACUUACACAGCUUGAUAAUUUUUUAUCAGUAUCUCUUCAUAAAUUGUAAAAUCUCUCCUUAUAUUUCCUCAGAUAUUGCAAUUUUGCUACUGAUAUUGAAUCUACAUAUUAAGAUAUCUACCUGUGCAUGUCUAGACAUGAGCCAGGCUACUUGCUAUUGUUGUCAAUGCAGGUGCAGACAACACAGUUGACUCCAACACAUUAUUAAUUUCAUUGUUAAUUAGACACCAGGACAAACUAGUCACACUUACUGCCUUUUUUAUGACUCAGAAAAAAAAUUAGAUGAUCAGUGU